AGAAAUUUUAGAGAAGAAGGAAUAAGAAAUAGAGGAAGAAGGGAAGAAUUCUCAUGCAAAAAGGGAGAAGAAUUAGAGAAAGGAAGAAGAAGAAGGAGAAGAAGAAUAAAGAGAAGGCAGAGAUCUUAGAGAAGAAGGAGAAGAAUUAGAGGGAAGAAGAGAGGAAGAGAGAAAAAUAGAAGGAACCUGGUAUUAAAUCUCAGAACACCACAACACCAGAAUUUAAAGAAGAGAGAGAGAGAGAGGAAAUAACUGUUGUAUUGUUGAUUUAAUGAAUCCUAUCAAUUACAAUG
rnacentral:misc_RNA from 1 species